rnacentral:rRNA from 1 species
CCUACGGGUGGCAGCAGUGGGGAAUAUUGCGCAAUGGGCGAAAGCCUGACGCAGCGACGCCGCGUGAGGGAUGAAGGUCUUCGGAUCGUAAACCUCUGUCAGCAGGGAAGAACGGUCACUGUGCUAAUCAGCAGUGAAUUGACGGUACCUGCAAAGGAAGCACCGGCUAACUCCGUGCCAGCAGCCGCGGUAAUACGGAGGGUGCGAGCGUUAAUCGGAAUUACUGGGCGUAAAGCGCUCGUAGGCGGUAUGUCAAGUCAAGGGUGAAAUCCCCGCGCUCAACGUGGGAACUGCCUUUGAAACUGGCAAACUGGAGUGUGGGAGAGGAUAGUGGAAUUCCAGGUGUAGGAGUGAAAUGCGUAGAUAUCUGGAGGAACAUCAGUGGCGAAGGCGACUAUCUGGCACAUAACUGACGCUGAGGAGCGAAAGCGUGGGUAGCAAACAGGAUUAGAUACCCUGGUAGUC